rnacentral:rRNA from 1 species
AUACGGAGGGUGCAAGCGUUAAUCGGAAUUACUGGGCGUAAAGCGCGCGUAGGCGGUUCGGUUAGUUGGAUGUGAAAGCCCAGGGCUCAACCUUGGAACUGCAUCCAAUACUGCCAGACUAGAGUACGGUAGAGGGGGGUAGAAUUCCACGUGUAGCGGUGAAAUGCGUAGAGAUGUGGAGGAAUACCAGUGGCGAAGGCGGCCCCCUGGACCAAUACUGACGCUGAGGUACGAAAGCGUGGGGAGCAAACGGGAUUAGAAACCCCGGUAGUCC